AGUGCUGAAGGAGGCCAGAGAGUGCAGCUGCCUGGAGGCACAAGCCUCCUCCUGACCCAGGGGACUCCAGGGAGACCAAAGCAGCUGUAAAGAUGAGAGAAAUUGAAAAAGAGAAAGGAAAACUCUCCAACCUGGCUCUCAGCUUCUGCAUCUCCAUGCAAGACCAGAGACCCACAUCACUCCCUCACUCCACCCAGUUCCACUCCAACAAUACCUGGGCCCUGCCAGGAGUGAGAAAACGGUUCUCUUCCUGUGGAUAGGUUGCCCUCUUCUCUUCCAGAUCAGGGUAUUCAUUGGUGCUGGGGAAUCCACAGCCCUCUUCGCCAAGCACCACUGGCUCAGAUGCAGCUCCAGAGCUGCCCCACUGGGCCUUCUUCAGUCUGUGGAGACUUUAGGCUGAGGAGAGAAGUGCCUGGAGGCCAGGCUUCCUGUCUCUCCAUUCUUCACCUUUCUGUUCUGAAAUGCCUCCUGCUGGGACUCCAGGGAGUUGUCAUUUGACCUUUAACUCUCCACUCCCAAUUUUCUGCUCCCCUCAGACUGAAGCAUAUUGUCUAGGAACCCAGAGGUGACCCCAGCCUCCCCACUGUCCUCCAGUUCUAUGGUUUGCUUUCCUGUCUUCAGUGAUCUAGUUUCCACUCCUUCUAGCUCAUGUGGCUCAUCCUCCUUACCGCAGUUCCCUCCUUCUUUCCAUAUUACAGAAAUCUGUUUCAAUCACACCAAAGCCCACGGCUUCCUCCCAAGCAACCUCCCCUCAAAGCUCUCAACCCCUUCCUUAGCUCAAAUUGUUCUUCCCCCAAAUCCUGCAUGACUCCCAGAACCCAGAUGUCUCCCUUCCUUACUUGUUGAUGAUGCUCUGACGCCUUCUUAGGUCCUCCAGGUGGUAAGUGACAGCCCUCACCCGGGCGGGGACUCCCCCAAGCCCCUGCUGCUGCAUUCCUUCCAAACAUGGCCUCCUCUUCUUUCUUCUCCAAAGCAUUUCAGGGGGUGGGAGCUGCUCAGGAGGAUACGGACCAAGCUGGGAGCAACCAGUGGCUCUCUGUGCCAGAGAAUGGGGAAAAAGAGCUAGAAAAAAGAACUGGCUCUCUCAAGGGAGCUUGGAUUGAACUAGGUAGGGAGUCCGGGGUCUUGGGAAGACGGCUGUGAUCUCGAAAACAUGAUGACUGAUUCAUAGAAAGGAAGGCCUGGUCAGUGCACUGGUUGGGGAAUAACAGAGGGAAGCGGUAAUAAGGAGAGCUUGCGACAGGAUAGCAGUGGGUGCAAUUUUAACAGAGAAGUGUUGAAUGGCAGAGGGUCUGUCUUACCAGCAUGGGUGGAAUGUGCUGCUCCUCCAGCCAAGUGGGGCUGUGAAGAACAAAAAGUGGGCUAUAAGUGCAGAGGGGACACGUCCAUCCAUAUUGCUUCUUUAAUAAUCUCUCUCAACCUCCUUUCUGUCAUUAGGAGCUACAGUAUCCACCAGCCAGUGGGAAAUUAACCUCAGACUAGGGCCUAUUGCUAUAUGGGUUUAUGGUAGUUUAAUCCAGUUAAGACCACAUCCAGUUAGUUUCCAUUUUCUCCUCUACUCACCUGGGCCUUUGACUAAGGUUCUUCCAGAAGACAUCUCCAUAACGCUGGGGCAUGGGUCUGAGGCUCUGGGAAGGCAACCUUGGGGGUGGAGAUCGGCUGACCACACUGGAACACCUGAGGUGAGGACAAGGUGAUCUCACCCAGUACCAUGCUGUCAAUAAGCUGAUGACUCCCAAAUCUAUAUAUCCAGCCCUGGUUCCUCUCUGGGCUCCACUCAACAUCUCCUCCCCAACCUUCCUCCUCUCAAUGAAAAGCACUCAAAUGCCCAGUUGCUAGGACCAAAAACAUGGUAUGUCUUACUUUCCCUCAUCUCCCACAUCUAAUCCAUCAGCAGUUCCUGUCAGUUCUACAUCUAAAAUACCGUGUACCUGAAUAUGACCACUCCUCAUCAUUCCCACUCCUACCACCAUAUAUUUCAGGUCAUCUUCUCCUUCCUGGACUGUUGCAAUAGUCUCUUCCCCCUCUCUCUGCUUCCAUUCCCAUCCCCCAACAAUAUAUUCUGCACAGAACUGUGAGAGAUGAUCAUAUGAAAUAAUAUAAGGUUUAAGAUGUACUUCGAAAGAAUUUGAGAAGUAGGGGGCUAGAUGGGUAUAGAGAUGAAAAGAUUAUCCAUAUAAUGAUGAUUAUUGAAGCUGACUGAAAAGGGUACAUGGGGUUCAUGAUACUACUUUCUCUACUGUGUUUGUUUGAAAUUUUCCAUAAUAAAGUUGAAGGAAAAAAGGCCGGUCAUGUUAUUCUCUGCCUUAAAAUUUUUCCACUGAAUAAAAUCCAAACUUUUUUUUUUCUUCUUUUUUUUUUGAGACAGUCUCACUCUGUCACCCAGGCUGGAGUGCAGUGACCCAAUUAUAGCUCACUGCAGCCUCAAACUCCUGGGCUCAAGCAAUCCUCCUGCCUCAGCCUCCUGAGUGCUGGGACUACAGGUGUGUGCCACCAUGCCUGGUUAAUUCUUUUAAAUGUUUAUCAGAGAUGAGGUCUCACUAUGUUGCCCAGGUUGGUCUCCAAUUCCUGAGCUCAAGCAAUCCUCCUGCCUUGGCCUCCCAAAGUGCUGUAAUUACAGGUGUGAGCCACCACACCCGGCCUAUACUUGUUUUAUUUAUUUUUUCUUUCUUCUUCCUGUCCUCUCUUCUCCUCCCCUCCCCUCUCUUUCCUUUUCUUUCUUCCUUUCUCUUUCUUUCUCUCCUUCUUUCCCUCCCUGCCUCCCUUCUUUCUUUUUAGAGACAGGGUCUUGCUUUGUUGCCCAGGCUGGAGUGCAGUGCUAUAAUCAUAGCUCACUGUAGACUCAAACUCUUAGGCUCAGGCAGUCCUCCCAACUUGGCCUCCCGAAGUCCUGGGGUUAUAAGCAUGAGCCACAACACUUAGCGCAGUGUUUUGUUUUUGUUUUUGUUUUUGUUUUUUGAGAUGGUGUUUCACUCGUGUUGCCCAGGCUGGAGUGCAAUGGCACAGUCUCGGCUCACUGUACCCUCUGCCUCCCAUGUUCAAGUGAUUCUCCUGCCUCAGCCUCCCAAGUAGCAGGGAUUAUAGGCACCUGCCACCACACUCAGCUAAUUUUUGUAUUUUUAGUAGAGAUGGGGUUUCACCAUGUUGGCCAGGCUGGUCUUGAACCCCUGACCUAAGGUAAUCCACCCGCCUCGGCUUCCUAAAGUGCUGGGAUUACAGGUGUGAGCCACCACACCUGAUCUCGUCUUUUUGUUUGUUUGUUUUUUGAGACGGAGUUUCACUCUUGUUGCCCAGGCUGGAGUGC